UUAUGACCAAAAGGUGCAAUGGAUUGUUUUGUGCUAUACUUUGUUGGUCCGGUUUGGUUGAAGGAGAUUCUAACUUCCUCUUUCUUACGAUCUUUGAUUAGGAGAAGCGAAAAUAUAAAGGAAAUAGCAAGCGAUAGAUGGUCCAAUACGCCAGCAAACAACCAUCAGUGGUUGUGUAGGCGCGUAAAGAGCACACGCCACUAUUGAAGAGAGGAGGAUGGUUGGAUAUGGAAGAUGCAAGGUCCCUGAUCUCAUUACUGCUGCUUGUGGCAACAGAAAACUCAUCCUGACGUGGCAGCGUGUGGAUCUUAUGCAUAGUUUGGGUCAUACAUGAGACAUACGCGCCACUCAUUUGGACUAUAUUCUUCCAAAAGCUGAACAAACGGCAGCUGAGGAGUCUUGUGGAGUGAUGCAUGAAGGUCGUAGGUGGCCAAAAAGCAGUAGAUCAGCCCAUCUCCAUACUAUAUAGUCGAAAAGCAUGAAAAGAAGUUGGAAAAAAUCCAUAGGACAGCUCAAGGAAGAACCAAAGAGUUGGAGGAAAGGUGGAGCCAAAGCUCCACCCCCUCUGGAUGGAGAUGGGAGGAUCUUUAAGAGAUGGGUGGAGGUUGGAAGAGAGCUUUCAGGACAAGAGAGAAUGAGGUUUCUUUUGUUUGUUUCUACCCUUCACAUCGGAAUGCCCAGUUAAAAGAAAAGGACGUUUGGAAUAGCACAUUAGCAACUUAAAAAUGAUAGGCCAACCAACACCAAGAUUUUUUAGGAGAGAGAAGGAAUUGCAGAAGCAAGGGUCCUCAGCUUUUACGAUAUGUACGUUUGUCCUUCCAGGUGUUCUUUCUGGACCCCAUUAUUGCAGGUUACGAAAAACAAUGCAUCAAAGAUACAGCUAAUUUCGUUUUGAAAAGGGGGUGCAAUGAAACUGAUCAUUUAUGAAGUACCACAUGCAAUGGUCCCACAGUAAAGCUCUCUGGUUAGAACUUUUUCUUAUCUGCUGUUGGGGUUUGGUACUGGAUGCAUUAUAUAUAGCCACUUUUGCUUGUGGUAGAACCAGGAAAACAUCUUCUUGUCUCGGAGUUCAAGUGAAACAUGGCUAAACCUGGAGAUUAUAGGGGAAAAAGGAAGGGAAGCAAUGGAAUUCUAGGCUCCAUUAUGGGAAAGCUGCACACUAGUAUUUCACUCUUAAAAGGAGUGAAACAAGGCUACUUUGUUGUAGUUGCGACUGAAGGCUGGAAACCAAAGAAGUUUGUCAUUGAACUGGGUUAUCUCAAUAAUCCCGAGUUUUUGAAGUUGUUAAAACAGGCCGAGGAAGAAUUUGGGUUUUCCCAGGAAGGAGCCCUUGCAAUUCCUUGUCGACCUGAUGACCUGCAGAGAAUCAUCGGAAUGAGGAAGCUAUGAAAGAGAGAAGUUGCUGGAAGGAUUACAUGAUCUUUCAUGUUAACUACGUUUACUUGUUCAUUUAUUUAAUAUAUUUUGUCUCCUUUGAGCUUUUGCUCUUGUACUUAAUUCUGUUACAACUGUAUUAAUUGAUUUCAGAUAAUUCAAGUUUAGAUAGGAAAAUUGUUGGUGGAGAAGAGAGAAUAAAACUCAGGAAUGGUAUCUAUUCAUGAAUUGAAGAACUGUGAGUACGGUUCUUGGUAAUAUAUAUGCAAUAAA